rnacentral:rRNA from 1 species
GACGUCCCUAGUUCGGAUUGUAGGCUGAAAUUCGCCUUCAUGAAGCCGGAAUUGCUAGUAAUGGCAGGUCAGCAUACUGCCGUGAAUACGUUCCCGGGCCUUGUACACACCGCCCGUCACACCAUGAGAGUUGGGAAUACCCGAAGCCUGUGAGCUAACUUUUAGAGGCAGCAGUCGAAGGUAGAAUCAAUGAUUGGGGUGAAGUCGUAACAAGGUACC